rnacentral:rRNA from 1 species
UGGGGAAUAUUGGACAAUGGGCGAAAGCCUGAUCCAGCCAUGCCGCGUGUGUGAAGAAGGUCUUCGGAUUGUAAAGCACUUUAAGUUGGGAGGAAGGGCAGUAAGCGAAUACCUUGCUGUUUUGACGUUACCGACAGAAUAAGCACCGGCUAACUCUGUGCCAGCAGCCGCGGUAAUACAGAGGGUGCAAGCGUUAAUCGGAAUUACUGGGCGUAAAGCGCGCGUAGGUGGUUCGUUAAGUUGAAUGUGAAAGCCCCGGGCUCAACCUGGGAACUGCAGCCAAAACUGGCGAGCUAGAGUAGGGCAGAGGGUGGUGGAAGUUCCUGUGUAGCGGUGAAAUGCGUAGAUAUAGGAAGGAACACCAGUGGCGAAGGCGACCACCUGGGCUCAUACUGACACUGAGGUGCGAAAGCGUGGGGAGCAAACAGG